rnacentral:rRNA from 1 species
AGGACGAACGCUGGCGGCGUGCUUAACACAUGCAAGUCGAACGGUGACGGUCAAGCUUGCUUGAUCUGAUCAGUGGCGAACGGGUGAGUAACACGUGAGUAACCUGCCCCAGACUCUGGGAUAACUUCGGGAAACCGUAGCUAAUACCGGAUAUGACACCAACUCGCAUGGGUAUGGUGUGGAAAGUUUUUCGGUCUGGGAUGGACUCGCGGCCUAUCAGCUUGUUGGUGAGGUAGUGGCUCACCAAGGCGACGACGGGUAGCCGGCCUGAGAGGGCGAUCGGCCACACUGGGACUGAGACACGGCCCAGACUCCUACGGGAGGCAGCAGUGGGGAAUAUUGCACAAUGGGCGGAAGCCUGAUGCAGCGACGCCGCGUGAGGGAUGAAGGCCUUCGGGUUGUAAACCUCUUUCAGCAGGGAAGAAGCGAAAGUGACGGUACCUGCAGAAGAAGCACCGGCUAACUACGUGCCAGCAGCCGCGGUAAU